GAGUUUGAUCUUGGCUCAGGAUGAACGCUAGCGGCAGGCUUAAUACAUGCAAGUCGAACGGUAACAUGAGUAGCAAUACUUGAUGACGAGUGGCGCACGGGUGCGUGACACGUAUGCAACCUUCCUUCAACUGGAGAAUAGCCCGAAGAAAUUCGGAUUAACUCUCCAUAGUAAAACAGAACGGCAUCGUUUUGUUUUAAACCUCCGGGGGUUGAAGAUGGGCAUGCGUUGCAUUAGCUAGUUGGCGGGGUAAAAGCCCACCAAGGCUACGAUGCAUAGGGGAUCUGAGAGGACUAACCCCCACACUGGUACUGAGACACGGACCAGACUCCUACGGGAGGCAGCAGUAAGGAAUAUUGGACAAUGGGGGGCAACCCUGAUCCAGCCAUGCCGCGUGAAGGAUGAAGGCGCUAUGACGUUGUAAACUUCUUUUGAACGGGAGAAAACCCACCUACGUGUAGGUGGCUGAUAGUACCGUUAGAAUAAGGAUCGGCUAACUCCGUGCCAGCCGCCGCCGUAAG
rnacentral:rRNA from 1 species